AUGAGUUAACUUUGACAAAAUGAAAUGUUAUUCGUCGUCUCACAGAUGAAGCGUCAAGUUUUAUCAGGUGGUCGAAAAUGUUCUUUGAAAGUUUACUCAACAAAAGACAAGGUCUGCUCAGUUCCACUUUUCGUAAAUUUCGACUAUUCUCCGACUCGGUAUUGAUCAUUUACAAGAGAAACAAGAUACAUGAUGACCGACUCGAGAUGUUCCUGUUUGCCCGUCGCCGAGUAACGUUACGACUUACAUUCGUAACGUCAGCUUCGACAUUGCUAUAUGGAGCACGACCGUAACAGUUUCUACCGUCGCGCGUCGGUUUCUCAUUCUCCUUUCACGCCGCAUCGCGCCGGACUGAUUUCCUACGAAAAAAUACAAAAACAAUGGGUCUACGUGAGACUGAGCCGGCGACUUAUAAUCGCGUCUGUAUGUGAGAACGGUGGCAGAAGAUGAGUCGGAUUUCAUAUAUCGUCCCGAGAACUUUCACAACCGCGUUUGUUGGAUUCGCCAGUGCCGUGUGGCAAAAAUGCUAUUUAAAUAAUAGAACCGCACCGACAAAGACCCAUGGCUUGACUCCGAUGAACCGCAGAUGUGUGUUUAGCUAAAUAUAACAGGCGCGCGUUCUUUUUUAAGCUCGCUGUUCCAGGAACAGCUAUGCGCUUCUACCGUUGCACCAGCGAACUAUUCUACGUAACCGUCCAAAAUUGUUCCGACGAUUCAUCAUCACGAUGGGAGAUCGCUAUCUCUGUGUGUGUGUGUGUGUGUGUGUGUGUCAUAUUGAAUGCUAAUGUUUUCUUUUUUUUUCUUUGCGGAAAGAGUUGUCGACGGAGCUCGUGCGCCGAAUCAUUUACAAUAAUACGUGUCGCGACGUCGUCAACCGUCAAGACGGUAGCUCUUGGCCGAGUUUACAACUCCGGAGCGAUAAUUUCGGCGCAAAUAGUUCGAGACACUAACUGAAAAAAAAGAAUAUCCAAGAGACGAAUCCAAGACGAAUCUGUAAAUCGUAAACGCGCUGAAACGACGUAUUUUAAAGUGCAGAGAAAGCUGCCCGUAGAAAAGUUUACAUGGAAAUUUUUUAAUCGCGAGUUUCGCAAAGGGUUUCUCACGAAAAAGUCAUACACCUCUCUCCCAGAGAAAAAUAGAAAUUAUGCUAUUUAAAAGAUUUUAUUUCGUAAAGGUUGAUACAUGCGCUGUUUUAUCAAUUUUACAGCUGAUCAAAGGUUAACAAAUAGAAAGAAAAGAAAAAUGAUCCGAUGUCACAGUUGGAUCUAUUUGGAACACUUUCAAAAAAGUCACGAAUAAACUCAAAAGUUCUCUCACAACAUAUUAAGAUUCUUGGCGCAUUUGAUUUCAGAACUAACGUUCAGAGACCAUAUUUUGGGCACGUAGCAAAUACAAAAUGUCUUUCAAAUGUCUUCCUGAUCUUCAAACUAAAACCGUGUUAGACGUGACGUUUACAUAAAAAUGAAAACGAAAUUUAAACUAAAAGCUACAUUUAACCCAAUGUGCGUCCAGAAUAAGGCUCCAGAGAUCUAACGCGUCUUUACUCUGAUAACUACACUGUAAAA